CCCUCCUCCUUUAGGCGGAGUUCGGUUGCUCCUCCCUGGCUGACCACCUGUGAGCAAUUAUUCCGGCAGUAUAUCAGACCUGCGCUCUCAACCAUUCAUCGCCUGAGUAUCUGCUAUCCCCAUAGGUAGCAUCUGGAGUGGAGGUCUUGUCUCCCUCACUCCCGCCUUCCUGGACCUGGGCCGCUUGCUGCUGAUACGACGUGGCCUGCCGGCCCACCACUCACUUGCCUGCCUCCCCACGCCUCGACCGCUUCCGGGCCUUCCGCCCCACCUGUCACCUCCACCUGAAACCAAUGCCCCGGCCCCUACCUAGUCCUGUUUCCACCUCCCCGCUGCCUCUGCUGUU